rnacentral:tRNA from 1 species
GCCUUCGUGGUGUAGCGGUCAGCACGCUCGACGCGUAUUCGAGAGGUCCGGAGUUCGAGUCCCGGCGAGGGCA